UGCAGUCGAACGGUAGCACAGAGGAGCUUGCUCCUUGGGUGACGAGUGGCGGACGGGUGAGUAAUGUCUGGGAAACUGCCCGAUGGAGGGGGAUAACUACUGGAAACGGUAGCUAAUACCGCAUAACGUCGCAAGACCAAAGAGGGGGACCUUCGGGCCUCUUGCCAUCGGAUGUGCCCAGAUGGGAUUAGCUAGUAGGUGGGGUAACGGCUCACCUAGGCGACGAUCCCUAGCUGGUCUGAGAGGAUGACCAGCCACACUGGAACUGAGACACGGUCCAGACUCCUACGGGAGGCAGCAGUGGGGAAUAUUGCACAAUGGGCGCAAGCCUGAUGCAGCCAUGCCGCGUGUAUGAAGAAGGC
rnacentral:rRNA from 1 species